UACGGGAGUGGCAAGCGUUAUCCGGAAUUAUUGGGCGUAAAGCGUCCGCAGGCGGUCUGUCAAGUCUGCUGUUAAAGCGUGGAGCUUAACUCCAUUUCGGCAGUGGAAACUGACAGACUAGAGUGUGGUAGGGGCAGAGGGAAUUCCCGGUGUAGCGGUGAAAUGCGUAGAUAUCGGGAAGAACACCAGUGGCGAAGGCGCUCUGCUGGGCCAUAACUGACGCUCAUGGACGAAAGCCAGGGGAGCGAAAGGGAUUAGAUACCCCUGUAGUCCUGGCCGUAAACGAUGAACACUAGGUGUCGGGGGAAUCGACCCCCUCGGUGUCGUAGCCAACGCGUUAAGUGUUCCGCCUGGGGAGUACGCACGCAAGUGUGAAACUCAAAGGAAUUGACGGGGGCCCGCACAAGCGGUGGAGUAUGUGGUUUAAUUCGAUGCAACGCGAAGAACCUUACCAGGGUUUGACAUCCUGCGAAUCUCUUGGAAACGAGAGAGUGCCUUCGGGAACGCAGUGACAGGUGGUGCAUGGCUGUCGUCAGCUCGUGUCGUGAGAUGUUGGGUUAAGUCCCGCAACGAGCGCAACCCACGUCGUUAGUUGCCAGCAUUUAGUUGGGCACUCUAGCGAGACCGCCGGUGAUAAACCGGAGGAAGGUGUGGAUGACGUCAAGUCAUCAUGCCCCUUACAUCCUGGGCUACACACGUACUACAAUGCUACGAACAAAGGGCAGCAAACUCGCGAGAGCUAGCAAAUCCCAUAAACCGUGGCUCAGUUCAGAUCGUAGGCUGCAACUCGCCUACGUGAAGGAGGAAUCGCUAGUAAUCGCAGGUCAGCAUACUGCGGUGAAUACGUUCCCGGGCCU
rnacentral:rRNA from 1 species